CCAGCAGCCGCGGUAAUUCCAGCUCCAAUAGCGUAUAUUAAUGUUGUUGCAGUUAAAAAGCUCGUAGUUGAAUUUCUGGUAGGAGCGACCCGACCUUUGGACGAAUGUCCAUUGUGAUUUGGCGUUGUCUCUGGCCAUCCUUCCUGGCUCUGUCAGGAUCUUUCACUGUAAAAAAAUUAGGGUGUUUCAAGCAAAAGUUUCUUUGGAAUAUAUUAGUAUGGGAUGAUAAGAUAGGCUCUCGAUGCUAUUUUGUUGGUUUGCACAUCAAGAGAAUGAUUAACAGGGACAGUUGGGGGUAUUCGUAUUUACAUGUCAGAGGUGAAAUUCUUGGAUUUUGGAAAGACGAACUACUGCGAAAGCAUU
rnacentral:rRNA from 1 species